rnacentral:rRNA from 1 species
CCGCGGUAAAACGCGUUACUCCUACGGGAGGCAGCAGUUGGGAAUCUUGGACAAUGGGGGAAACCCUGAUCCAGCCAUGCCGCGUGAGUGAUGAAGGCCUUCGGGUUGUAAAACUCUUUCGCGCACGACGCGGUAGUGCGAGAAGAAGCUCCGGCUAACUUC